rnacentral:rRNA from 1 species
GUGCCAGCAGCCGCGGUAAUACGGAAGGUCCAGGCGUUAUCCGGAUUUAUUGGGUUUAAAGGGUGCGUAGGCCGUUUGAUAAGCGUGCUGUGAAAUAUAGUGGCUCAACCUCUAUCGUGCAGCGCGAACUGUUGAACUUGAGUGCGUAGUAGGUAGGCGGAAUUCGUGGUGUAGCGGUGAAAUGCUUAGAUAUCACGAAGAACUUCGAUUGCGAAGGCAGCUUACCGUAACGUUACUGACGCUUAAGCACGAAGGUGCGGGUAUCGAACAGGAUUAGAUACCCUGGUAGUCCGCACAGUAAACGAUGGAUGCCCGCUGUUGGUACCUGGUAUCAGCGGCUAAGCGAAAGCAUUAAGCAUCCCACCUGGGGAGUACGCCGGCAACGGUGAAACUCAAAGGAAUUGACGGGGGCCCGCACAAGCGGAGGAACAUGUGGUUUAAUUCGAUGAUACGCGAGGAACCUUACCCGGGCU